ACUGGUCAAGCUGGGCUCUUGCUUCUCAGUCCCACUUUCUUCUUAUCUCAGGGGUUCUGUUUUUAAUUUGACAUUUCAGUUUCUGUGCAUAACCAUGGUAGAAGGAUUUCCAGAUUCUUGGUAAUCAUUAACCAACUCAAGACAGGCAUAGCCCUGCCCUGCCUCCCCCUCAGCUGAGGCCUUGCUGGAGAAUGUCUGGGAAGGGCAUUCACAGAGCACGGAGACGUCCAAAGCCGCAUGGAGGGUGCCUGGUGAAAGGCCAAGUGGGGGCCGAGUGUGGCCAUGCCAUGGGACAAGGUUGAAGAGAGCCUAAUGGCAUCUGAGGAAAAAGAACUCUAAGGAAGCUAUUCUUGGGGAAACGGAACAUUCACCCCCAAAUCUGGCCAAGCACUGUGCAGUAGACUUCUUAGGCUCCUUCUCAGCCUUAUCGUUGACUCGAUAUUUACUUUACCCUCCCUUCCCCCUGUGCAGGGAGAAGGCCGAGACGUUUAUGCCUAUAGAGCGGGCCAUAAAAUCUUGACUCUUAGAUAAUAUCAUUUUAUCAUUCUUUGUAGUAGGAAAACAAUAAAUAUUUUAAAAUAUGUUUGUCUGUGUUUUCAGACUUAGUGGCCAACCUGUGUGUGUGUGUGUGUGUGUGUGUGUCUGUGUGUGUGUGUGUGUGAGAGAGAGACAGAGAGAGAGAGAAAGAGAGAGAGAGAAAGAGAGAAAGAGAGAGAGAGUCUGCUAGGCCUGCCAUAACAAAAUACCAGACUGGGUGUCCUAUAUAACAGAAAUUUAU
rnacentral:lncRNA from 1 species